rnacentral:rRNA from 1 species
AGAUUGAACGCUGGCGGCGUGCCUAACACAUGCAAGUCGAGCGGCAGCGCGGUAGCAAUACUGGCGGCGAGCGGCGAACGGGUGAGUAAUACUUUGGAAUCUUCCCAGUAGUGGGGAAUAACCAGUCGAAAGAUUGGCUAAUACCGCAUACGUCUGAAAAGGGAAAGCGGGGGCUCGUAAGACCUCGCGCUAUUGGAUGAGCCAAAGUCGGAUUAGCUAGUUGGUGGGGUAAUGGCCUACCAAGGCGACAAUCCGUAGCUGGUCUGAGAGGACGACCAGCCACACCGGAACUGAGACACGGUCCGGACUCCUACGGGAGGCAGCAGUGGGGAAUAUUGGACAAUGGGGGAAACCCUGAUCCAGCGACGCCGCGUGUGUGAAGAAGGCCUGCGGGUUGUAAAGCACUUUUAGUGGGGACAAAAAAGCUACGGAUUAAUACUUCGUGGUCUUGAUUUAACCCAAAGAAAAGCACCGGCUAACUCUGUGCCAGCAGCCGCGGU